AUUCCGGUUGAUCCUGCCAGGGCGGAAAUGCAACAGCGUCAGCAGGCCUAUUCAGUUCUGAAGGACGAGGAGCUGUCAGAGCAGCUAAAAGCAUUGCAGGCUCUGCAACAACGCCAGGUAGAGCAGAUAGAACUCCAGCUGGAGAAAACUGCCCAGGCGGAACACUUCAAGGCUGCCAGGAGAGAAGAGCGAAUCGGGCGUAUUGAAAAAGUGUUUGAUGAAUACCAGGCCUGGGUGCGGGAUACCCUGACUAUCGAACCCGUGCCGUUUAUCCAGAUCAUUGCGGUGUUUACACAAGAGGAGAAUGCUGCGUGAUGUUGGCGCUCCGGGAGUUUACGAUUAGAAUGCGGGCUGAGUCGGCGGGGCUGCCCAUAGCAGUGCGAAAUGUUGUUACAUUGCUGGCUUACCUGUCUUUAUCGAGUCGCACAUCCAGUGCGACCAGUGCGACUUCUCUCUCUUCCGUAAUUUUGGCAUUUAUUGCAAGCACUGUUAUUCGUCUGUCAGCUCCCGUUUCGUCCCGCAGGAGUAAUACCUAACCAUGGCCGUACAAGACACCGCCGCCACCUUCAUCGGCUUAACCAACGACAACGAAUUCUUCAGCGCCCACUAUCUGGCCGAAGUGUUUCAGGGCGACUUUGCCGAAACCGUUAAAGAGUGGGAGGCAAAAGAAGAAACAACAAAAGCGGCCGGCGCAGGAAAAGCAGAGCAACCGGGUGACGUGGUCAGCGAGGUUGCGGCAGGCUAUCAUUUCACAACACCCCACCGCGCCCUGCGCAACCUGAACCAAAGCUACUUCGCCCUGCGCCACAAACUCAAAACCGAGCGCAGUGCUGCAGAACGAAUUCGCCUUCAGCGCGGCUUCUUCAAAGACCUCACCUCCGUACUGGGUAUUCCUUACCAGCCAGACAACCGUGAGCUGGCCCCCAACACCGAACUGCCGGUGCUCUCUGCCAUAGGUGACCAGCUCUGGGUGCUCGGCGCGCUGGAUGCAAACAACGAGGGUGAAGACCCCCUCUCCCUGAGACUGCACAGCAACCAGUUCGUCGGCCCGGGCCCGCACCACGACAAACUGAAAAACACCGAUUGGUACCGCAUCCUCAACGAGGCCGUAUUCCGGCAGGAUCAACCGGAAAU
rnacentral:rRNA from 1 species